rnacentral:rRNA from 1 species
GGGGGCCCGCCCAAGCGGGGGAGCAUGCGGAUAAAUUGGAUGCAACGCGAAGAACCUUACCAAGGCUUGAAAAGUUCUCAAUCCCGGUAGAGAUACGGUUUCCCCCUUUGGGGCGGGGUCACAGGUGGUGCAUGGGUUGUCGUCAGCUCGUGUCUUAGGAUGUUGGGUUUAAGUCCCCCAACGACCGCAACCCUCGUUCCAUGUUGCCAGCACGUCGUGGUGGGGACUCAUGGGAGACUGCCGGGGUCAACUCGGAGGAAGGUGAGGACCUUGUUUAUAUUUAUCAUGCCCCUUAUGUCUUGGGCUUCACGCAUGCUACAAUGGCCGGUACAAUGGGUUGCGAUACUGUGAGGUGGAGCCAAUCCCAAAAAGCCGGUCUCAGUUCGGAUUGGGGUCUGCAACUCGACCCCAUGAAGUCGGAGUCGCUAGUAAUCGCAGAUCAGCAACGCUGCGGUGAAUACCUUCCCUGGCCCUUACACACCCCCC